GGAUGGAUGAGGCUUCAGUGUUUCGGGCACAGACUCCACUUGGCCAUAGGUAAGUAGGAAACCUUCAUACAGAUUAUAUGUAAUGUGGUGAUUUAAUUGUACUAUCACACUAACCUUUUACUAUUAUUAUUAUUAUUAUUAUUACCACUUGAACUACUCUUUGAUGCCUUCUUACUCCGUCUUAACAAAUGUUGCUUUGAUGAGGGUGGCAAUGAUCAUAUAGUUGACUAAAUAGUAUUUAUUGUAAUCUUAGAGAACGCAAUGAAGGAUCCUAGGAUCGACCGUGUAAUGGGGGUCUGCAAGAAGUUGGAAAAAAAAGAGGGAACUUGCAGAGGCACAAAAGCAGCUGAAGACUCCCUUAAAACAGAAUGCCCAACCAGAUGGGGAUCUAGGCAGGCCAUGUUAGACAGAGUCCUUGAGCAGCAUAAGGCCAUUGCCCAGGUCCUUUCUAGCGACUGAAAACUCAGACAUCUCACCCUCUCUUGGCAGGACAUUGACGUACUGGAGGCCAUCAAUAAGUCUCUUAGCCCCCUUGUUGAAUUCAGUGACGCACUUUCUGGAGAGAAAUACAUAAGUGUGUCUUUUCUGAAACCAACCUUCCACCUCUUUAGAAAUUCAAUAUUGGAAGUGCAGGACGAUGACACAGACCUUGCCAAAAGCAUCAAACAGAAAUACCUCAUUGACAAAUACAGCAACACAAGAGUUACUCGACAUGGCCUCUGCCCUGGACCCAAGGUUCAAGCUUAAAUAUGUCAACAAAGGCAACCGAGGGUCUAUUGAAGACAGACUGACAGCAGAGAUGAAGAGUGUGAUGACUGACAUGGUGGAGAACGUCCCUCUUGAGACAGAGGAUGCUGCUACUGCUCCAAUGAAGAAGAAGAAGAAGAAGAAGAAGAAGGGCCUGGGCAGUUCUUCAAAGUCACCACAGACAAAGCUGCUGGACCUCCUCUGCAACAGGACCAGGCCAUAACUGUUGAGCUACAGUCGUACCUGCAGACAGAGACACUGGAUGCUGAGGAAGACCCACUGAAGUGGUGGAGGGAAUCUCAGAGGAUCUACCCACGGCUUUCCAACCUGGCAAGGAAAUAUCUUUGUAUUCCAGCCACAAGUUCUUCAUCAGAGCAAGUCUUUAGCACUGGUGGAAAUAUUGUCUCCUGCUUGCGUUCAUCACUGAAACCAGAUCAUGUGAAUAGGCUGGUGUUUCUGGCUAAAAACCUUUAAGGCUUAGAUGUGUAACCCUAUCAGCAUUUUGGCCACGUUGGCCUGAAACAUAUUUACUUAGUCUAAAGUUGAAGUUAAACUUAUUUUCUGUUAGUUCUAAGCCAUGGUGGGCCAGCCUUAAAAUAUUAUUGGACUGAGACGAGUUACUGACUGGAAUGUGAUUGUUUAAAAUGUAGAAUGCUGUAAAAUGUUGUUUAAAACUUCUCAGUUAGUUCAAGG
rnacentral:lncRNA from 1 species